AUACCCGCGCUGGAAUUCAUUCCAUCCCAAACACCAAACUUCAAAUUUCAGAACAAAUCAGAAAAAGAAACAACUUGUUAGUAGUACACUACACCUGUGACCUUCAGGAUCUCGAUAUGUUUGAGUGGCGACAAGACACACAAGUUUUGAGUUGGCCAGCAUAGACCAUCACCGGCUUCCGGCCACCGCUUUUCUUACAACAUAGUGUUACAAGGCACCGAACGUAUUCAUACUACAAAUCUUGUCAAUGAAAAAUUCAUUCAAGCUUUUGAGCCAAGCAACUGCCAUGGAAUGCCAUGAGAUUUCCACCUGCGUGUCAAACGCUUAGGUCUGCCACACUUCCCGUUCUGUGAAACCAGACGGGGAUGUUCCAUCGUCAAUGAAUCGAGCUGGGCAAAAGCUUGUUUUCCUUGGCUUUUCACAUUUCGUCUUUGAUGGUCGUGGUGUGGUUGGGCAGAGGCCUUGUUCACCCACUUCUUUGAUAGUACAUACCUGUUGGGGAGGGGGUCAGGAUUCUCAAAACAUCUACGAGUCGCGCGAAAUGGAAAGCCAAUAGACAGUGUAUCCUUCAAAAUCAAGCCGAUACCCAACACCGGCUUUGGGCUGCAGCCAUUGCACGUGGAUAGACGUACCGUCUGCCGGUACCUUACACGACUAUAUCACAAACAUGGCUAAUGACCAACAACCAUUCGUUUUCCGCGGCCUCUAUCCGGUGUAGGACCAUGUGACUGCGUUGGAAGGCACCAAUUUGGUCUUCAGUUGGGCUGUUGGCUGUGUCUUGAUUUGGGUAAACUAGAGCUACUUGCCGCUUCUGAAACAAACCGCCCCUUGGUAUUAAUUCAACAACCGCUUC